rnacentral:rRNA from 1 species
CCUACGGGGGGUAGCAGUGAGGAAUAUUGGUCAAUGGUCGGGAGACUGAACCAGCCAAGCCGCGUGAGGGAGGAAGGUACAGAGUAUCGUAAACCUCUUUUGUCAGGGAACAAAGGCGGGGACGUGUCCCCGGCUGAGUGUACCUGAAGAAAAAGCAUCGGCUAACUCCGUGCCAGCAGCCGCGGUAAUACGGAGGAUGCGAGCGUUAUCCGGAUUUAUUGGGUUUAAGGGGUGCGCAGGGGGGCUGUUAAGUCAGCGGUCAAAGCCCGGGGCUCAACCCCGGCCCGCCGUUGAAACUGGCAGUCUCGAGUGGGAGAGAAGUAUGCGGAAUGCGCGGUGUAGCGGUGAAAUGCAUAGAUAUCGCGCAGAACUCCGAUUGCGAAGGCAGCAUGCCGGCUCCACACUGACGCUGAGGCACGAAAGCGUGGGUAUCGAACAGGAUUAGAUACCCGGGUAGUC